rnacentral:lncRNA from 1 species
AGAAUUAGCCUGGUCAAUUGUAUGGCUUCCUUUUGGUGGAAAUCUAAAGGAGAGCUCUGUGAGGAGCCACGUAGGACGUGUCAAAUCUUUGGAUCAAUCUACGAUAGAGUUCUAACCAAUGAGAUCAUAAGAUCCAUCCACAAUUUCCAUAUUGGAUUCAUCCACGUGGACACUUUCUUCUCCUUAAGAUAUCUUCCUGUUCUUGGCUACUAAUGCAUAAUAUGUAAUAAUUGACGCGUAGAAUGACGCUUUGGAUGCAUUACUUGUUCUUAGAUCAGAUGGCGUGUUUAGUCCGUCAAAAUAAAUAUGAAAUCCAAGCAUUGAAUUUAUCUGGAAGGACAGACUGCACUCGUUUGAUUUAAUCUAUUACAUGGAAAAGUUGAAGUUGGGCAAGAAUUAAGAUGACACUCCUAAUCUUAGGCUUCUGGGGUGUCAUUUUUAACCCACCAACACGCCUUAUUCAAGGGGAUGAUAGCAUUUUGUUAGCCACUAGAAAUUUUGUCAAAUGUGAAGGACAAAUAGUGUCUGGCAUGUGCCUGGAAAGGAAUUCUUCAAGAAGUUGAUUUAACAUACAAGAAUU